UACGAAGGGGGCUAGCGUUGUUCGGAAUUACUGGGCGUAAAGGGCGCGUAGGCGGUGUGUCAAGUCAGGCGUGAAAGCCCCGGGCUCAGCCUGGGAACCGCGCUUGAGACUGGCACGCUCGAGUUCGGGAGAGGAUGGUGGAAUUCCCAGUGUAGAGGUGAAAUUCGUAGAUAUUGGGAAGAACACCGAUGGCGAAGGCAGCCAUCUGGACCGACACUGACGCUGAGGCGCGAAAGCGUGGGGAGCAAACAGG
rnacentral:rRNA from 1 species